AAUAAAAUGGAGACUGUUGUUUGCCUGUUGCGAGCAUCUGUCUGAGACCGAUCUUAAUCCUCGGCUUGUGUCCCAGAUAUCUUAAUAAGAAGUGAGAACAUGAAACAUCUGGAAAAAUCCUGCACUACAAAUCCAAGCCAGCAUAACUUCAUAAAAGUUGCUGGUGUUUCUUCUCUGGCAAAAAACCAAAAGAUGCUGGUGAAGAAGUUGGAAGGUGGAUGAUUUGGCCAAGACAGUGCAUGUGGAGUUGGUAGAGUGCACUUCAAUGUGGAGGUUUUACCAGGAUAYUUCUCUUCAAUAUUGAAAGACUGGCCUGGAGAACAUCAGGUUUCUAAUGAAACUGAAACAUGAGGAUGCGAUCAGUGAACCAAAGAGCAGAAAACCAGGCGUUCCAGGUGUACAGAACAAUUGCUCUGAUUGUUUUAUUAGGGUGGUUGAAGUAAUUUAUGCAAGUACUUUCACAGAUCUCUCUUGAGAGCUUUGCUCUGCCAGUGCCUUUUCUCAGUUAAAAAGUUUCUCGUGCUUGGUGUGGCUCAUUUGGUAAGCAUAUUUGCUCCUCUUAGUAAAUGAAAGCUGGCCAAUGCUUCUUCCUAACAGCUGAAAGCCUAUCCUCCCUCCUUGUCAUCUUCCUCGUGUAUGCAAGGACCAAAAUGAACUUGCGCUGCAGAGGUAAAAACAUCAAGACAAUUGUAUUGUAUGAGUGUAUUUCUAAUUAUUAUAUAUAUAUUUUCUGUUCCACGUUCCAUCCUUCCUUAUUCUCCUUUAGAAAUCAGAAAUCCUCUGAUUUCUCCUUUUAACAUUUCUCUACCUCUCACCUCUUCCCUACUUCACUUUCAUUCCCCUUUUUUUUGUAGAUAUCACAGAUAUUUGUAGAUAUCAUAAUUCUACAGAACCACAGGACGGACACAGAAGAAUAAAACCAAAAGCAUUACACAGAUAUGGCAGACAUAGUAAGCUUUUAACUAUUUUUCUCACAGUUCUUUCAACAGUGGGGCAUAUAGUCUAGGCUGAAAGUUCAACUACUCUCAAGUUCCCACAAAGUCUAAACAUCCAGAGCUUCCUACUUUUGAGAAAGUGAAGUGCUAUCAAUGAUGGUAACGACCAGCAGGGCAGCUAGCGAGCUCUCCCUUUGCUGGUCUUAACUGCUCAAGAAACACUGUCUGAAGAAACUUCUGCAAUAUAUUAUAAAUUAUGAAAAAAAGUAUGAGUGUGUGCUUAUUUUUUAUCUUUAACUUCAGUGCUCCGGCCUGGCAGAAAAUGAGUAUAUUAAAGUAGAUACUUCUAAAAUGAGUGAGAGUUGCUUUAAAGCUUUUCCAAGGGCUUYGAGUGAUCUUUUGUUUGUGCUGUGAAUUAAAAGGAACUGGCAGAGAUUCAUGAUUAUGUAGACU